rnacentral:tRNA from 1 species
UCCCGGGUAGCUCAAUUGGCGGAGCAGCGCCCUGUUAAGGCGAUGGUUGUCGGUUCGAGUCCGACCCCGGGAG